rfam:Myotis davidii contig72533, whole genome shotgun sequence.
GGCAGUUCUCGGGUGACGCAUCCUGGAACUGGGUUCACUCCUCCCUGGUUCCGGGUGUGUCACCCGAGAACUGCA